rnacentral:rRNA from 1 species
UACGUAGGGUGCAAGCGUUACUCGGAAUUACUGGGCGUAAAGCGUGCGCAGGCGGCUUUGCAAGACAGAUGUGAAAUCCCCGGGCUCAACCCGGGAACUGCGUCCGAUACUGGUGGGCUCGAAUCCGGGAGAGGGAUGCGGAAUUCCAGGUGUAGCGGUGAAAUGCGUAGAUAUCUGGAGGAACACCGGUGGCGAAGGCGGCAUCCUGGACCGGUAUUGACGCUGAGGCGCGAAAGCCAGGGGAGCAAACGGG